rnacentral:lncRNA from 1 species
GUAUAAUCUAGUUUGGAAAUCAAGAUGGAGAAACAUGAGAAAUUAUAUAAGAAAAUUGUAAAAAUAACUAUCUUUUCUCGGGUAUCUUCCUGUAUUAGGUGAUAGCAUGUUUCUUUAUACAUUCAGCUUAUUAAAUUCAGAGGACAUCCAAUGAGGCAGGGGCUAUAAUCUUUGUUUCAUAGAGGAAGAGACUGAAGAUCAGAGAAAUUUGGUGAUUUGCCUAAAGUUUCACAGGAACUAAUGGAAUCAAGAUGGAGGAGAUCCGUGUGUCUCUCCGAGCCCACUGCACAAUGGUAAAAAUACACCAUGUCUGAUGAACAGCCAACUGAGUCGAAUUGAGGAAAGUAUCUUGUUCUCAGAGCUAAGAGAACUCUCAGGCCUGAACUACAGCAAAGUGUGUCUGUGUCUGUGUCUGGGACAAUCUGGACAGGCAGAACAAAAGGGGUUAGUAUCUCAGGGAAGUGGGAAUGGUAUAGUCAGGUGAGCAAAUUGGUAGCAAAGGGCAGUCGACAAGAUCCAAGUGCCCUGAUUCAUCUGGAAGGGGAUUCCAGAAGCAGCACUAGGUAUAGCAAGCGUACCACUGGCACCUAGAGCAACCAGCUGCCCUCCCUGGAUUGCUGGUGACAUCUUUGAUUCCAGUGGUUGUUCUCUUCUCAGCUGCAAGGAUCCACUGACAACAGGGGUUAUGUUAUCAACAAAAUUGAGAUUUUUUUCCUUUCUCAGAAUACCCACCAGCAGCCAAGAGGGAGGAUGGUCCUGUCCACUGUGGAAGGGGACGUGUUCAGACCCCAGCACAUUGCAUGGCCUGUACACUUUUCAGGGCAGGAUGGGUGUACACCCAAUAUGGUCUGAGGGACACUGUCCUAGGAAAACUGUGAAACUGUCAUAAGGAAUUUUACCUGAGUUCUAGGAUACCAGGAAGCAACUCUGGAAACCACAUUCAUUUCUUCAGAAAAAUCAAACACCCUGAUUCCUUCCAACCCAG